GACGAACGCUGGCGGCGUGCCUAAUACAUGCAAGUAGAACGCACAGUUUAUACCGUAGCUUGCUACACCAUAAACUGUGAGUUGCGAACGGGUUAGUAACGCGUAGGUAACCUGCCUGGUAGCGGGGGAUAACUAUUGGAAACGAUAGCUAAUACCGCAUAAUAUUAAUUAUUGCAUGAUAAUUGAUUGAAAGAUGCAAUUGCAUCACUACCAGAUGGACCUGCGUUGUAUUAGCUAGUAGGAUAGGUAACGGCUUACCUAGGCGACGAUACAUAACCGACCUCAGUAGCUGCUCGACCCCUCCGGGCAUGCGCCACCGCCCCGACCCCCUCGGGAGGCACCAGUAGGGCAUCUUCCGCCAACGAACCAAGACUGACCGAGCAACGACGCGUGAGUGAAGCAGGUUUUCCGAUCCUAAAGCUCUGUUGUACGAGAAGAGCGGGUGUGAGAGUGGAAAGUUCACACUGUGACGGUACCUUACCCGAAAGGGACGGCUAACUACGUG
rnacentral:rRNA from 1 species